AAGGGCUUCUUUAUACACUCGCACGAAAGUGUAGAUAAGGGAACCCUGAGUGCUCAUGCGUUGCAUGGGCUUUUGCCAAGAGUAAACAUCUUGGAGAAAAGUGGGGGGCAAGACUGGUGCCAGCCGCCGCGGUAACACCAGCGCCACAAGUGGGGGCCGGGUAUUUGGCCUAAAGCGUCCGUAGCUGGUCAGAUAAAUUUCCUGUGAAAUCGUUGGGCUUAACCUAACGGCGUGCGGGGAAGACUGUUUGACUUGGGACCGGGAGGAGCUAGAGGUAUUCUGUGGGGGGCGGUAAAAUGCUAUAAUCCACAGAGGACCACCGAUGGCGAAGGCAUCUAGCUAGAACGGGCCCGACAGUGAGGGACGAAAGCCAGGGGAGCAAGACGGAUUAGAUACCCGAGUAGUCCUGGCCGUAAACGCUGUGAGUUAGGUAAUGCACAUUCUUCGAGAAUGUCCCCUAUCGAGGGGAGGACGCUAAACUCACCGCCUGGGGAGUAUGGUCGCAGGGGUGAAACUUAAAGGAAUUGGCGGGGAAAAGGGCGAAUUCGUUUAAACUUGCAGGACUAGUCCCUUUAGUGAGGGUUAAUUCUGAGCUUGGCGUAAUCUGGCCAUAGCUGUUUCUAAGAACCGUUUAUUUCGGGGUUUGAAAAAAAAUGGGGGGUUGUUGUGUUCCCAAGAACCCUUAAAUAUAGAACCCUU
rnacentral:rRNA from 1 species